rnacentral:rRNA from 1 species
GAUGAACGCUGGCGGCGUGCUUAACACAUGCAAGUCGAACGAGAUCUUUCGGGAUUUAGUGGCGGACGGGUGAGUAACGCGUGAGGAUCUGCCUACAGGACCGGGACAACAGUGGGAAACUGCUGCUAAAACCGGAUGUGCCGAGAGGUGAAAUAUUAAUAGCCUGUAGAUGAGCUCGCGUCUGAUUAGCUAGUUGGUGUGGUAAGAGCAUACCAAGGCGACGAUCAGUAGCUGGUCUGAGAGGACGAUCAGCCACACUGGGACUGAGACACGGCCCAG